rnacentral:rRNA from 1 species
AUUGAACGCUGGCGGCAGGCCUAACACAUGCAAGUCGAGCGAGCGGCGGACGGGUGAGUAAUGUCUGGGAAACAGCCUGAUGGAGGGGGAUAACUACUGGAAACGAUAGCUAAUACCGCAUACCAUCAGAUGGGCCCAGAUGGGAUUAGCUGGUAGGUGGGGUAACGGCCCACCUAGGCGCCGAUCCCUAGCUGGUCUGAGAGGAUGACCAGCCACACUGUAGCUGAGCCACGGUCCAGACUCCUACGGGAGGCCGCAGUGGGGAAUAUUGCACACUGGGCGCAAGCCUGAUGCAGCCAUGCCGCGUGUAUGAAGAAGGCCUUCGGGUUGUAAAGUACUUUCAGCGGGGAGGCGUUACCCGCAGAAGAAGCACCGGCUAACUCCGUGCCAGCAGCCGCGGUAAUAC